rnacentral:pre_miRNA from 1 species
GAAUUUAGGGCUUGAGCCAAAGCCUUCUGAAGUCAAGGGAAAUCUUUCCACUGAUAUCAAUGGGCUUUGGCUCAGUCCCCCAAAGC